UACGUAGGUGGCAAGCGUUAUCCGGAUUUAUUGGGCGUAAAGAGAACGCAGGCGGUCUUUUAAGUCUGAUGUGAAAGCCUUCGGCUUAACCGGAGUAGUGCAUUGGAAGCUGGGAGACUUGAGUGCAGAAGAGGAGAGUGGAACUCCAUGUGAAGCGGUGAAAUGUGUAGAUAUAUGGAAGAACACCAGUGGCGAAAGCGGCUCUCUGGUCUGUAACUGACGCUGAGGUUCGAAAGCGUGGGUAGCAAACAGG
rnacentral:rRNA from 1 species